UACAGAGGGUGCAAACGUUGCUCGGAAUCACUGGGCGUAAAGCGCGUGUAGGCGGACCGGUAAGUCGGGUGUGAAAUCCCUGGGCUCAACCCAGGAACUGCAUCCGAAACUACCGGCCUAGAGUGUCGGAGAGGGAAGUGGAAUUCUCGGUGUAGAGGUGAAAUUCGUAGAUAUCGAGAGGAACACCGGUGGCGAAGGCGGCUUCCUGGACGAUAACUGACGCUGAGACGCGAAAGCGUGGGGAGCAAACAGGAUUAGAAACCCCCGUAGUCC
rnacentral:rRNA from 1 species